CACUAAGCGGAGGAAAAGAAACUAACUAGGAUUCCCCCAGUAACUGCGAGUGAAGAGGGAAGAGCUCAUCAUUGGAAUCUGGCAGUGUUGCACUGUCCGAGUUGUAGAUGAGGAGUAGUCCGUCUGGACUGCAUGGCGUCCAAGUACAAUAGGCCGUCAGUGGGACAUCAUAGAGGGUGACAAUCCCGUCCUUGACGCUAAUGUGCAAGUCUAUUACGAUGGCUAUCUCAGAGAGUCGAGCAGUUUGGGAUUUGCUGCUUAAACAUGGGAGGUAGAUUCCUUCUAAAGCUAAAUACAGGCGAGAGACCGAUAGAGAACAAGUACCGCAAGGGAAAGAUGAAAUAGCACUCUGUGAAGGGAGUCAAAAGGCGUGAAAUUGUUGCGAGAGAAGCGAUUCAAGUCAGCGUAGCUAGGCCCAUCAAGCGUCUUCGCUUUGGACUAGCUUUGCCAGCGGUCUUGUCCCUUAAAGAGACUUGACUUGUAAUAUGUCCAGCCUGGCGUGCACAGGCAGCCCCUUCUGGGGGCCAGUGGCAUGGCUGGUGGAAUGGCUUGCAAUCGACCCGUCUUGAAACACGGACCAAGGAGUCUAACAUGUAUGCGAGUAUAAGGGUGGCAAACCCGUAUGCGCAAUGAAAGUGAUUUUCGGUGAUUGAGAAUGGCCUGAUGACCAGACAAGCAAUACAUGUCCCUCGUACGGCCAUUGCCCAAGUUCCGUGGUAGAUCCCACGAACAUGGAGUUGGAGCAUACAUGCUAGGACCCGAAAGAUGGUGAACUAUGCCUGGACAAAGCGAAGCCAAAGGAAACUCUGGUGGAGGCUUGUAGCGAUUCUGACGUGCAAAUCGAUCGUCUGAUCUGGGUAUAGGGGCGAAAGACUAAUCGAMCCAUCUCAUAGCUGGUCUGC
rnacentral:rRNA from 1 species